UUCUGCAUGUAAUAUUUCUUUUCUUUCUCAUACACAGGAAGCUUUCAGACAAAAAUUCAAAGUUGAGGUGAUUUAAGUAUCUUACUGCUAUUUGGCUUCAUGUCAGUGGAUAUCGUACAGUUCAAGUCAUUCCUGUGAGUGAAGAAAGCUUCCCCGUUCCUUACCUGGAAAAAUUUUGCUCAAGUAUUUCAAGUCUAUUAUUUCUGUCUCUCAGCAUGAACAAUUUGAAGCAUUAACUUGUUUAGUUUAUUGAUGUCUUUCAGUUGAGAUGUAUCAAUGUAAAAGGCAGGUCAACAUGAAAUGUACAAUUUGUUAUGUAACACUGCUGAAGCGUUAUUUUGUCUGUUAUUAUCCCUUUACAUUCCACAAUAAAGAAAAUUUAGCAUAG